rnacentral:rRNA from 1 species
CCUACGGGAGGCAGCAGUGGGGAAUAUUGGGCAAUGGGCGCAAGCCUGACGCAGCAACGCCGCGUGGAGGAAGAAGGCUUUCGGGUUGUAAACUUCUUUUCUCAGGGACGAAGCAAGCGACGGUACCUGAGGAAUAAGCCACGGCUAACUACGUGUCAGCAGCCGCGGUAAUACGUAGGUGGCAAGCGUUAUCCGGAUUUACUGGGUGGAAAGGGAGUGUAGGCGGGACUGCAAGUCAGAUGUGAAAACCACGGGCUCAACCUGGGGCCUGCAUUUGAAACUGUAGUGCUGGAGUACUGGAGAGGCAGACGGAAUUCCUAGUGUAGCGGUGAAAUGCGUAGAUAUUAGGAGGAACACCAGUGGCGAAGGCGGUCUACUGGACAGCAACUGACGCUGAGGCGCGAAAGCGUGGGGAGCAAACAGGAUUAGAUACCCUAGUAGUC